AGCAGUCGCCGCGGUAAUACGAAGGGUGCAAGCGUUAAUCGGAAUUACUGGGCGUAAAGCGUGCGUAGGCGGUGAGUUAAGUCUGCUGUGAAAUCCCCGGGCUCAACCUGGGAAUGGCAGUGGAUACUGGCUCGCUAGAGUGUGUCAGAGGAUGGUGGAAUUCCCGGUGUAGCGGUGAAAUGCGUAGAGAUCGGGAGGAACAUCAGUGGCGAAGGCGGCCAUCUGGGACAACACUGACGCUGAGGCACGAAAGCGUGGGGAGCAAACAGGAUUAGAUACCCCCGUAGUCCCGUCUCUUAUACC
rnacentral:rRNA from 1 species